GACGAACGCUGGCGGCGUGCCUAACACAUGCAAGUCGAACGGAAAGGCGCUGCUCUUGCGGGUUGCUCGAGAGGCGAACGCGUGAGUAACACGUGUGUAUCCUGUCCUUGUCUUUGGGAUAUCUUUACGAAACUCGGGCUCUUACCGGAUAGGAUCUACUGCUGCACGGUGGGGGAUGGUAAGAUUCGGCGGUGGGGGCUGGACUGGCGGCUUAUCCGCUUGUUAGUGGGGUAGUGGCUGACCAAGGUUGUGACGGGUAGCCGGCCUGAGAGGGUGACCGGCCACAUUGGGACUGAGAUACGGCCCAGACUCGUAUGGGAGGCAGAAGGGGGGAGUAUGGCACAGUGGGCGGGAGCCUGAUGCAGCAACGCCGGGUGCGGGAAAACGGCCUUCGGGGUGUAAACCACUUUCGCCUGUGACGAAGCGUGAGUGACGGUAAUGGGUAAAAAAGCACCGGCUAACUACGUG
rnacentral:rRNA from 1 species